GGAAAAAAAAACGGAACGGACACUGAAAGAAAAUACGUUCGUGUGCAUGAGGCCUAACCCAGUGUUUCGGAAAGCUACCAAGAAAUACAGAGCACCCUUAGUGUAUCCCCCUCAACGGACAUCCACAGAUAUAUAGGGGACCACGAUGCAGAUCAUUGUAAUUUAUUUUAAAGAAUUCUGUAAAUAUAAUAUAGAUUUUCUCCUCCUGACUAACAUAAAGGUUACAAAUUAGGCCACACAGACAUUAACUAAAAUUAUCCAGGACUGGAAAAAAAUAAAUUGUUUUUCUCCCCCCAAAAAAGUACCAGUUUCACCCAUAGGUUGUAUCUGCUAUUGAAUCAAAUCCCUAUUCCAGUCAAUGAGACAGACCUGCAACAGAGACACUCUAGAGACAAGAUUGUGGGAAAGACAGAUUUUUAAAAUCCAACACAGCCCCUUAAGUUUUCUCAUUUAAGCAUGUGCGGAAUAAUUCAUUUUUGAGAAGUGACAAUAUAUGGUGCUCGUACACACACAUUAUCAUCGUGCCCUGUAAGUGAAGAGAUGGCAUGUAAAGAGAUUUUAUUCUACAAUAAUAUGGAAACAUCAUAAAUAUCUAGUUUAAUAGUUACAUUGCAUUAGAUCAGAAAAUAAUUAUUUUCAUCUGCUCAAUCUAUUACUAUAGUCAAAAAUAUUCCCUUUAUGAUACAUUCAUGGCAGAAAUCUGUGGGGUUGUUUGUGCAGCAGGUACAUGGAUUUUAUAAGUCGCAGAAAUUUUUGCAACAAAUCUGACAUGUGUAAGUACACCGCUAAGCUGACCAUACCCGUUGGCUGAUGUUUGUUUGGCUGACAACCAGGACCCCCUCCCAUCAGCUGUUUGAUUGUGGCUGAGCUGCAAUACCAAGCACAGCCACUAUACAAUGUACGGCGCUGUGCUUGGUGAGCAAGGAGAAGGCGGCCGCGCUCACAGGAGCGCCAAUGCCUUCUCAAACAGCUGAUCAGCAGGGGUCCUGGGUGUCGGACCCCCACCAAUCAGUGAUAACUAAUCCAGAGAAUAGCUCAUCAGUUAAAAGUGUCGGAAAACCCCUUUCAUCUAAUAUGUAUGGCUAACUUUGAAUUCCCCUUGUG